rnacentral:rRNA from 1 species
AACGAACGCUGGCGGCAUGCCUAACACAUGCAAGUCGAACAAGACCUUCGGGUCUAGUGGCGCACGGGUGCGUAACGCGUGGGAACCUGCCCUUAGGUUCGGAAUAACUCCCCGAAAGGGGUGCUAAUACCGGAUAAUGUCUUCGGACCAAAGAUUUAUCGCCUUUGGAUGGGCCCGCGUUGGAUUAGCUAGUUGGUAGGGUAAAAGCCUACCAAGGCGACGAUCCAUAGCUGGUCUGAGAGGAUGAUCAGCCACACUGGGACUGAGACACGGCCCAGACUCCUACGGGAGGCAGCAGUGGGGAAUAUUGGACAAUGGGCGAAAGCCUGAUCCAGCAAUGCCGCGUGAGUGAUGAAGGCCUUAGGGUUGUAAAGCUCUUUUACCCGGGAUGAUAAUGACAGUACCGGGAGAGUAAGCUCCGGCUAACUCCGUG